CCCAAUUACCCGCGCAGGGCUCUGCGCACCCGCGCACCUGUGCUCGGGGAGGGGCGCGCCCAGACGGCAGUCCUCGACCCCGCACCUGCGGCCGUGAGCGAUACAUGGGGCAGCACCCGGCGCUGGUUCGCUCCAUGCUGCUGUUUGUCUGGAGAAGCCCCUGCCUAUCAAUACAUUCAAGGCAGAACCUGGGAACCUCACAGAGAGCUGUACCUGGCUGCUGCCCCCUGGGCGGGCAAUGAAUGAAUGACUGAAGCAAUGAAUGAAUGAAGCCCCUUCCCGGCUGCUCGCUGAGAUCAACUCUCGUGGGUGUAUACUUCAAAUCCACUUGUCUGCUCAUUUUAUCCCCAUUGAAUGGGGGCAAUUAAUCUGGGUGCUGGAGCAGGAUGGAGCCAGCAGAGGGAAUGCGAGAGCGCUGAUGCAGCUCCAUCGUUAGCCUCAAGGAAUGGCCACUGGGUGACUCCUAUUAUUAUGAUCAUUCCUAAGUAUUGGUGAACCAGGCACAUCAAUGAGAGCGAUGUCUGAACAGCCAUCAGUCUGGUAAUGUUGGGGAUGCAGCUAUCGGAGAGACGUCCCCCCAGCUGGGAGCCCAUCCCUGAGCACAUCUGUCCCAUGCUCAAUGCCAUCAUGGCCCCCCGAGCCAAAUGCCACUACACUGCACCAUCUCACCUCAUGCAGAGCAUCCCUGCCCUCCCCAUGCCGUGGGGCACAGCUGUCUCUUUGAGGCUGAGAGCCCCCAGUAAAGCUCAGCGACCACCAGUGUCGCUAAUUUGGGACCCAGUGGGAACACAU